rnacentral:tRNA from 1 species
ACUUAAGUAGUUUAAUAUAAAAUAAUGAUUUGUGGUAUCAUAGAUGUAAAAUUUAUCUUAGGUU